rnacentral:rRNA from 1 species
GACGAACGCUGGCGGCGUGCUUAACACAUGCAAGUCGAACGGAAAGGCCCUGCUUUUGUGGGGUGCUCGAGUGGCGAACGGGUGAGUAACACGUGAGUAACCUGCCCUUGACUUUGGGAUAACUUCAGGAAACUGGUUCUAAUACCGGAUAGGAGCUCCUGCUGCAUGGUGGGGGUUGGAAAGUUUCGGCGGUUGGGGAUGGACUCGCGGCUUAUCAGCUUGUUGGUGGGGUAGUGGCUUACCAAGGCUUUGACGGGUAGCCGGCCUGAGAGGGUGACCGGCCACAUUGGGACUGAGAUACGGCCCAGACUCCUACGGGAGGCAGCAGUGGGGAAUAUUGCACAAUGGGCGGAAGCCUGAUGCAGCAACGCCGCGUGCGGGAUGACGGCCUUCGGGUUGUAAACCGCUUUCGCCUGUGACGAAGCGUGAGUGACGGUAAUGGGUAAAGAAGCACCGGCUAACUACGUG